CCGCGGCCCUCCGCGCUCCGCCCGCGGCCGGGGUGUUUCUGGGACCCCCUUUCUUUCUCUCUUUUCCUCCCCCCCCCCCCCCUCCCCGAAAGAGUCAAUAAAGAUUACGAAAGAGCCGUUUGAUGGGCAUAAAAUUCCCGAUUAGAUGUCACAGUCGAGCCUUAAACCGCGUCGAGGAAAAUAGUAUUUGGUGGCUUUAAACUCUGUGGGUCGUCCUGGCUGUUGUCGGAGAAGAGGAAAUUGCUAGAAAGCGAGGGGGGGACGCGGCGCUCCGAGGCUCCUCCGCAGCUCUCCCCCGGCUCGGCCAAAUCUUAGCAAUGGCUCUGAUCGUGAUCUUAAAUGCGCCGAGCCGGGAGCUGCCCCUUCCCGGCUCGGAGCGCGGUGGCGGAGGGCUGCGGGGCAGCGCCGAGCCGGGAGGCGGCGGAUCGAGGAAGCCACGCAAAGUGUGCGGGAGAGCGCCCGGCGGCCGAGAGCCAGGAAAGCAGGGAGAAGUGGAGCCCACGCUGCUGGAAAACGCGUGUUUGGAGCCGGGCGAAGGGCGCGGAUGGGGAUUUAAAAAUCCUUCCCCGUGCAGCUGCGCUGUGGGGCCGGCGGGGUUCUGCGGGCGGAGAGGGCCCACAGCGGCCCGUGCGUCCGGCACGGGAACCACCAACAAGUUCACUGCGGGGGGGUCCCCGGCCUCGGGCCCUGCGUGGGGACGGAUUAAAUAAAGGCAAAAAAAAAAAAAAAAAGAAAGGAGGAAAUGAAGAAAAUGGGGUGGGGGGCGGAGGGGGGGGGGGGUGAAAUAAAGAGGGCGAGGAAAGGAAAGGAAGGGAAGAGAAAGGAAAGGAAAGGAGAAAGAGGGAAAAAAGAGCUGGUGCCGUCAGUGUUUAAAAUGUAACAGGUUCGGGUGUAAAUAUGGGUUCGGCGAGGGGGGAAAAACAGCAAAACGCGCUGAGAGCGCUGAGAUGCGGAAAUCUCCCUUGCCAUGCGGGCACUCCGCGUUACCCCCCGCGUUUCUAUCGUCAUUCCCCUAUACUCCAUCUGCACUCAUCGUUCUUCCCCAAAAUAAAAGAAAACGAAGCAAGAAAGGAAAGGGGAAAGUUGGUGGAGCGGGGGCGGCGAGCGCCCGGCGCCCAGCGCUUCUGGCAGCAGUGCUGCGGAAGGGGGGACGAUCUCUUGCGGGGCUUUCAGCUCGCAGGGCAAGAGAAAACACGUUCAUUUUUAUUUUCCUCUCACGAGGCGUCGUGAAAUAAUUCGAGGAAGGCACUGCGACGAUAAAGCGCAACUUCGGACAAAAGUCUGCCUUUUCGUAUUUGACGAUUUGUGUUAAAACAAAAAUUGACCUUCUCGGUGAGCAGCGAGGAAAAAAAAAUCAAUAGUAUAAUUUUCAAUAAUUCAUAACGCGAACGCCAUUAUGCUAAAUCUUAACUAUUAAUCUUAUCCUUUACAAAGUCUCGAUUGAUUUGCUAAUAAAAUAUCUUCCCGUGUGUGGCAACAGAGGGUAUAACUCUUUAAAAAGCUCCAGAAGCAAGAAAAUUACCAAGUCGCCCAAGAAUGUAGAUGAGGAUUUUAUUGAUCGCCCCUGAUUCUUCUUAAUACGCAUUAAUAAAUUCCGCAACCUUUUGUACCUCGCACUUGUCAGGAAGCGAUGCUGCCACGGCGAGGGGAGGCACGAUGGCCGCU
ensembl:lncRNA